UACUCCUACGGGAGGCAGCAGUAGGGAAUCUUCCACAAUGGGCGCAAGCCUGAUGGAGCAACACCGCGUGAGUGAAGAAGGGUUUCGGCUCGUAAAGCUCUGUUGUUGGAGAAGAACGUGCGUGAGAGUAACUGUUCACGCAGUGACGGUAUCCAACCAGAAAGUCACGGCUAACUACGUGCCAGCAGCCGCGGUAAUACGUAGGUGGCAAGCGUUAUCCGGAUUUAUUGGGCGUAAAGCGAGCGCAGGCGGUUGCUUAGGUCUGAUGUGAAAGCCUUCGGCUUAACCGAAGAAGUGCAUCGGAAACCGGGCGACUUGAGUGCAGAAGAGGACAGUGGAACUCCAUGUGUAGCGGUGGAAUGCGUAGAUAUAUGGAAGAACACCAGUGGCGAAGGCGGCUGUCUGGUCUGCAACUGACGCUGAGGCUCGAAAGCAUGGGUAGCGAACAGGAUUAGAUACCCUGGUAGUCCAUGCCGUAAACGAUGAGUGCUAGGUGUUGGAGGGUUUCCGCCCUUCAGUGCCGGAGCUAACGCAUUAAGCACUCCGCCUGGGGAGUACGACCGCAAGGUUGAAACUCAAAGGAAUUGACGGGGGCCCGCACAAGCGGUGGAGCAUGUGGUUUAAUUCGAAGCUACGCGAAGAACCUUACCAGGUCUUGACAUCUUGCGCUAACCUUAGAGAUAAGGCGUUCCCUUCGGGGACGCAAUGACAGGUGGUGCAUGGUCGUCGUCAGCUCGUG
rnacentral:rRNA from 2 species